CUACGGGGCGCAGCAGUCAAGAAUCUUCCUCAAUGGACGAAAGUCUGAAGGAGCAAUGCCGCGUGAUCGAUGAAGCUCUUCGGAGUGUAAAGAUCUUUUAUCAGGGACGAAUCCGUGACGGUACCUGAUGAAUAAGUCACUGCUAACUUCGUGCCAGCAGCAGCGGUAAUACGAAGGUGGCAAGCGUUACCCGGAUUAACUGGGCGUAAAGCGUCCGCAGACGGUCUAAUUAGUUUUUAGUUAAAUCCGAAGGCUUAACCUCCGGACCGCUAAAAAUACUGUUAGACUAGAGGCUGGGAGAGGCAAGCAGAAUUACUGGUGUAGUAGUUAAAUGCGUUAAUAUCAGUAAGAAUACCGAAAGCGAAGGCAGCUUGCUAGAACAGUCCUGACGUUCAGGGACGAAAGCGUGGGGAGCGAAUGGGAUUAGAUACCCCGGUAGUC
rnacentral:rRNA from 1 species